rnacentral:misc_RNA from 1 species
GAUGAAGAACGUAGCGAAAUGCGAUACUUGGUGUGAAUUGCAGAAUCCCGUGAACCAUCGAGUCUUUGAACGCAAGUUGCGCCCGAAGCCAUUAGGCCGAGGGCACGCCUGCCUGGGCGUCACACGUCGUUGCCCCCCCAUCUACUCCUUCGGGAUUGCGGGGGGCGGAUGAUGGCCUCUCGUGCGCCUCGUCGCGCGGUUGGCCUAAAUGCCAAGUCCUCGGCGACGCACGCCACGACAAUCGGUGGUUGCGAAACCUCGGUUGCCUGUCGUGUGCGGUCGUCGCGCAUCGAGGGCUCGAAAAAAUUGCCGGGCUUCGGCUCGACUUUCAACGCGACCCCAGGUCAGGCGGGGUUACCCGCUGAAUUUAAGCAUAUUCAAUAAGCGGAGGA